UCCGGCUUAUCACCGGCAGUCCCACUAGAGUGCCCAACUGAAUGAUGGCAACUAAUGGCGAGGGUUGCGCUCGUUGCGGGACUUAACCCAACAUCUCACGACACUUCGAGCCCAGGUAAGGUUCUUCGCGUUGCGUCGAAUUGAACCACAUGCUCCACCGCUUGUGCGGGCCCCCGUCAAUUCCUUUGAGUUUUAAUCUUGCGACCGUACUCCCCAGGCGGGGCACUUAAUGCGUUAGCUGCGGCACCCAGGGGGUCAAUACCCCGGACACCUAGUGCCCAUCGUUUACAGCGUGGACUAC
rnacentral:misc_RNA from 1 species